AGAGUCAGGAUCAAAUACUAAAGUUGGUCUUGGAUGAAUUGAGAAGUGAAUGAUCUGAUAUAAUUAUAACAGCUUGGCUAUUAGAAGAUCUAAUAUUGAAAGAUUAAUUAGUUACAGUGUUUUGUGUCUGUUAUUGAGAGACUGUCUCCAGGUAAAUGAUGUGAGUGUGUUUGCAUAUUGAUCAGAUGCUUCAGUGCUCUGAGAGUGUUUAUAGUGCUGUGAGUUUAACACUUCAUCACUGACACACACAACAAUCUUCAUCAACAUGACCUUCAUCAUCAUCUUCAUCUGGACUCUUUCAUACUGCUUUAUACAAGGGUGUAAAGCUCAGAUUACAGUCACUCAGACUCCUUCAGUGAAAAAUGCCACACCACAAGAAAAUGUUGAGAUGAGCUGUAAACUCAGUACUGAUACAUACUGCAGCCCAAACCCCUGUGUGUCCUGGUACUUACAGAAACCUGGAGAAGCUCCUAAACUCCUGAUUUAUGCUGCAAACACACUCCAGUCAGGAACUCCAUCUAGAUUCAGUGGCAGUGGAUCUAACACUUAUUACACUCUGACCAUCAGUGGAGUCCAGACUGAAGAUGCUGGACAUUAUUACUGUCUGAGUAGACACUACAUCAACAGUAAUGCUGUGUUCACACAGUGA